rnacentral:rRNA from 1 species
AUUGAACACUGGCGGCAUGCCUUACACAUGCAAGUCGAACGGUAGCGGGCCUUCGGGUGCCGACGAGUGGCGAACGGGUGAGUAAUGUAUCGGAACGUACCUUUCAGUGGGGGAUAACGUAGCGAAAGUUACGCUAAUACCGCAUAUUCUGUGAGCAGGAAAGCAGGGGAUCGCAAGACCUUGCGCUGAUUGAGCGGCCGAUAUCAGAUUAGCUAGUUGGUGAGGUAUAGGCUCACCAAGGCGACGAUCUGUAGCGGGUCUGAGAGGAUGAUCCGCCACACUGGAACUGAGACACGGUCCAGACUCCUACGGGAGGCAGCAGUGGGGAAUUUUGGACAAUGGGGGCAACCCUGAUCCAGCCAUGCCGCGUGAGUGAAGAAGGCCUUCGGGUUGUAAAGCUCUUUCGGCCGGGAAGAAAUCGUAUCAGCUAAUACCUGGUGCGGAUGACGGUACCGGCAUAAGAAGCACCGGCUAACUACGUGCCAGCCGCCGCCGUAAAAC